UACGUAGGGUGCAAGCGUUUGUCCGGAAUUAUUGGGCGUAAAGAGCGUGUAGGCGGCCCGAUUAGUCCGCUGUGAAAGUCCAGGGCUCAACCCUGGAAUGCCGGUGGAUACUGUCGGGCUAGAGUCCGGAAGGGGCGAGUGGAAUUCCUGGUGUAGCGGUGAAAUGCGCAGAUAUCAGGAGGAACACCAAUGGCGAAGGCAGCUCGCUGGGACGUGACUGACGCUGAGACGCGAAAAGCGUGGGGAGCAAACAGG
rnacentral:rRNA from 1 species